UUUUUCUCGGAGUAUAAUACACAAUAUCGGUGCAAAUAGGUUUUAAAAUUGCUCCAAUCACAUGUUCUUAAGAAAAAAACGUCAAAAGAAAUCUAAGUAUUCCCAAAAUAAUUCCUCCUGACAUGAGAAGAAUAAAAAACACUAAGAUGCAUUGUCAGUAUGAAACACAAGCCAAAGUUGCUAACAAUAGGAUCAAUUCUUACUUACUGGCAAUGUUACGAGGAAUCUUGGUAGGAGGAUGUUUGGCAACAUAACGUUCUUUUGAAUUUGUUUUUACACGACGAGUAAUGUUCUUCUGAAACUGUGUGUUUGCACGACGCUGAGAGGGAGUUUGAACCGUCUAAAAGACAUAGUUAGGAUCCAUGAUGCACAGAUUUCUAAAGAUAAAACUACUUACAGGCAUGUUGGUUUAUUAAAAAAGAAAAACAGGAAUGAUAAGAGGGAAAGAAUACGUGUACAGAGCAAGUGUGGAAAGAUAUGCUGAAGACGUUUGUAUGAACAAUGCCAAGCUGUAAAGCUAGACUUUCAAAGUACACACUAAUACGUUAUACUAUAUACCAAACAAAAGGGUACGAACUUACAGUGUUUACCAAUGUCAGCAAUACUACACUACGCUAUGAUACACUACGUUGUGUAUCACUAUAUGUCACAUGUUCUAAUUAUAUAUCGUACCAUGUAUGAUACGAUAUGGAGAUUAAUCUUAAUGAUAAUCUAUUAAGAUCUAUAUUAUCUGAAUACUAUAAAUAGAGCUACUGCUGAACCUCGUUCCUCAGUUCAGUUAUGAGCUAUAUUAGUGAUAGGUAACAUUAUAACCCAGUUAAUACAAUACCUAUACUCAGUUGCUACUUAUACAACCCGUGUAUUGUAAUAUAAUAGAUCACAAGGAAAACUCACCGCAGUUCUACGUAUCCUUAAAUCAGAUACCAAACUGC